rnacentral:lncRNA from 1 species
CCGCCCUCCAGGAGAUGCCAUGCUACGGGCCCAUGCCAACAGCGAGCCCUCUAACUGGAGGCUGGACAGAAAACGUGAUCCACGCAACUGAAGCCUUUAGCCCGCCAUGCUUGUUAAGAAGCCCAGACCACAUGGAGAGACCCCACAUGGACAUUCCAGCCAGCAGCAGGUCUCAGCCAACAGACAGCAAGAACCUCUGCUCAUGUGAAUGAACUCAAGACUUUAGAUGAACACAGUCUCAAGCCUUUGGCGCUUCCAGCUGAGUGCCUAGACACCACGGAGCAGAAAGAAGCCAUCCUCAUUGUGUUCUAUCAAAUUCCCAAUCCACAG